UGUGUGUGUCGACCUGGGCUAGAGAAAGAAAGGGGAAACCCUCAAGCAUUUGCAAUUCAGCAAAAUUGAAAGGAGAAUUGAGAUUAAACUUGAUGCAUGAAUCCUAAUAUAUGAUCAUCUAAGCUUGCUUAACAAGUGGCAUAAUAAAAGAAGGUCCAAGCAACCGGAAACCUCAAAGCUCGCAAGACCAAGGUAAAACCGCACUAUAAGCGGACUCGCGAGCUUGGAACGAACACACGCACAACUCUUUUUCGCCCUCAACGCGCUUCCGCACUAGUUUAUGCAAUGGGUCAAAACUUUUGGUUGUUUAUGUAGUAAAAGUUUAGUUGUUAGACAUGCUACAAAAACAUGUGAUUAUAACUUUUUUUAAAUGGUAGUUGGUUGUAUCUAGUUUUAAAAGGUCAACUUUGUAUAAUUUG